ACGUACACUCCUACGGGAGGCAGCAGUGGGGAAUAUUGCACAAUGGGCGCAAGCCUGAUGCAGCCAUGCCGCGUGUAUGAAGAAGGCCUUCGGGUUGUAAAGUACUUUCAGCGGGGAGGAAGGCAAUACGGUUAAUAACCGUGUUGAUUGACGUUACCCGCAGAAGAAGCACCGGCUAACUCCGUGCCAGCAGCCGCGGUAAUACGGAGGGUGCAAGCGUUAAUCGGAAUUACUGGGCGUAAAGCGCACGCAGGCGGUCUGUCAAGUCGGAUGUGAAAUCCCCGGGCUCAACCUGGGAACUGCAUUCGAAACUGGCAGGCUUGAGUCUUGUAGAGGGGGGUAGAAUUCCAGGUGUAGCGGUGAAAUGCGUAGAGAUCUGGAGGAAUACCGGUGGCGAAGGCGGCCCCCUGGACAAAGACUGACGCUCAGGUGCGAAAGCGUGGGGAGCAAACAGGAUUAGAUACCCCUGUAGUCCCAU
rnacentral:rRNA from 1 species